GUGCCAGCCGCCGCGGUAAUACGGAGGGUGCAAGCGUUAAUCGGAAUUACUGGGCGUAAAGCGCGCGUAGGCGGUUCACUCAGUCUGCUGUGAAAGCCCCGGGCUUAACCUGGGAACGGCAGUGGAUACUGGUGGGCUAGAGUAUGGUAGAGGGGAGUGGAAUUUCCGGUGUAGCAGUGAAAUGCGUAGAGAUCGGAAGGAACACCAGUGGCGAAGGCGGCUCUCUGGACCAAUACUGACGCUGAGGUGCGAAAGCGUGGGGAGCAAACAGGAUUAGAAACCCUCGUAGUCC
rnacentral:rRNA from 1 species